UACAGAGGUCCCAAGCGUUGUUCGGAUUCACUGGGCGUAAAGGGUGCGUAGGUGGCCAGGUAAGUUUGAUGUGAAAGCUCGGAGCUUAACUCCGAAAUGGCAUUGAAUACUAUCUGGCUUGAGGGUCGGAGGGGAGACUGGAAUUCUCGGUGUAGCAGUGAAAUGCGUAGAUAUCGAGAGGAACACCAGUGGCGAAGGCGAGUCUCUGGACGACACCUGACACUGAGGCACGAAGGCCAGGGGAGCAAACGGG
rnacentral:rRNA from 1 species